AAAAUGUCCAAUAAAUUGAAUAAAAUGAUUAAGAGCUAAUAUUGGUCUCUCAAGGCUGACACUGGCAUAGUUUAAAAGGGAUGUCUGAAAAGAUCUAUUAAAAUUCUGGUUUGGCAUUUCUCCUGCAUGGAGAUCUAGUACCUCUUUCAUUGAAUCAGCUGUUAUAACAUAUCAUGGCCUUGAAUGAAGCAGCUCUUCGUGUUUUAUAAGGUGUGACUGAACCUAAAAUAAAUAAGCACAAUAAGUAUCCCUUCUACUGUAAUGACAAAAACAUAGUGUUUACUGUUACAACAUUGUUUUUCCUGGAACUUUGUAAAAUACACAUAACAUAUAUAAUGCUAAAAUAUUUGAUCAAAUAAAUUGAAUUAUUCAAUGUAAAUUAAUUUAUUUUUGAUUACUAUAUUUCCAAUAGACCAGCAUUCAACUUCACAAGACAGGCUGGUGCAUAGAGCUAAAAGUUCAAAUUUAAUUAAGUUCCAGGAAGAACAAGUCCUCUAGCCUC